UUCGGUGGCCAUGGCGGCAGGGUUCCACCUGUUCCCAUUCCGAACACAGAAGUUAAGCCUGCCAGCGCCGAUGGUACUUGGGCCGUAGGGCCCCGGGAGAGUAGGUCGCCGCCGAAC
rnacentral:rRNA from 1 species